UUGAACGCUGGCGGCAGGCCUAACACAUGCAAGUCGAGCGGAUGAAGGGAGCUUGCUCCCUGAUUCAGCGGCGGACGGGUGAGUAAUGCCUAGGAAUCUGCCUGGUAGUGGGGGACAACGUCUCGAAAGGGACGCUAAUACCGCAUACGUCCUACGGGAGAAAGUGGGGGAUCUUCGGACCUCACGCUAUCAGAUGAGCCUAGGUCGGAUUAGCUAGUUGGUGAGGUAAUGGCUCACCAAGGCGACGAUCCGUAACUGGUCUGAGAGGAUGAUCAGUCACACUGGAACUGAGACACGGUCCAGACUCCUACGGGAGGCAGCAGUGGGGAAUAUUGGACAAUGGGCGAAAGCCUGAUCCAGCCAUGCCGCGUGUGUGAAGAAGGUCUUCGGAUUGUAAAGCACUUUAAGUUGGGAGGAAGGGCAUUAACCUAAUACGUUAGUGUUUUGACGUUACCGACAGAAUAAGCACCGGCUAACUCUGUGCCAGCAGCCGCGGUAAUACAGAGGGUGCAAGCGUUAAUCGGAAUUACUGGGCGUAAAGCGCGCGUAGGUGGUUUGUUAAGUUGGAUGUGAAAUCCCCGGGCUCAACCUGGGAACUGCAUCCAAAACUGGCAAGCUAGAGUAGGGCAGAGGGUGGUGGAAUUUCCUGUGUAGCGGUGAAAUGCGUAGAUAUAGGAAGGAACACCAGUGGCGAAGGCGACCACCUGGGCUCAUACUGACACUGAGGUGCGAAAGCGUGGGGAGCAAACAGGAUUAGAUACCCUGGUAGUCCACGCCGUAAACGAUGUCAACUAGCCGUUGGGAGUCUUGA
rnacentral:rRNA from 1 species